rnacentral:rRNA from 1 species
UACGUAGGGGGCAAGCGUUGUCCGGAUUUAUUGGGCGUAAAGAGCGUGUAGGCGGCUGGGUAGGUCUGCUGUGAAAACUCGAGGCUCAACCUCGAGACGUCGGCGGAAACCCUCCAGCUAGAGUCCGGAAGAGGAGAGUGGAAUUCCUGGUGUAGCGGUGAAAUGCGCAGAUAUCAGGAAGAACACCAGAGGCGAAGGCGGCGACCUGGACAGGUACUGACACUCAACUACGAAAGCGUGGGGAGCAAACAGG